ACAAGCCUACGGGGGGCAGCAGUGGGGGAUAUUGCACAAUGGGGGGAACCCUGAUGCAGCGACGCCGCGUGGGUGAAGAAGCGCCUCGGCGCGUAAAGCCCUGUCAGCAGGGAAGAAAAUGACGGUACCUGACCAAGAAGCCCCGGCUAACUACGUGCCAGCAGCCGCGGUAAUACGUAGGGGGCAAGCGUUAUCCGGAUUUACUGGGUGUAAAGGGAGCGUAGACGGCAGCGCAAGUCUGGAGUGAAAUGCCGGGGCCCAACCCCGGAACUGCUUUGGAAACUGUGCAGCUGGAGUGCAGGAGG
rnacentral:rRNA from 1 species